AUGGACAUCAUACUUUGGCGAAUCGACAACGAUGACUCAGUGCUGGCUUCAUGGUUCAGGCUCAAGUAUCCCCAUGUCGCCAUAGGAGCACUGGCAUCCUCUGCUCCGAUCCUGCAGUUCGACGACAUCACCCCAUGGUCUAGCUUCAACGACGUUGUCUCGCAGGACUUCAAGUCUGAGAGCCUGAAUUGCUUCAGUGUCAUCAAGGCAGUUUGGGAUGUGCUAGAUGAGAGGGGAUCAAACGAGACAGGGCUCUUGGAGCUCAGCAAAAACUUCAGGACCUGCAAGACAGUGCAUUCCGUUUCUCGUCUGGGGUUGUGGCUAAGGGCAGCAUUCACCACCACUGCCAUGGUGGACUAUCCAACCCCAGCCAAUUUCAUGAUGAAUCUGCCUGCUUAUCCUGUGAAGGAGAUGUGCAAGAUCAUUGAUACUUUUCCCCCCGGAGCAGACGUCAUCGACAAAGCUUUCGCUGCGGCGAGCCUAUACUACAAUUACACAGGCGACCAGAAGUGCUUCGAGGUGGAGGGUGGUGAUGACCCUCAUGCCCUCCACGGCUGGGGCUGGCAGGCCUGCACUGAGAUGUUCAUGCCGAUGACAGUGUCGAACGAGAGCAUGUUCCCACCGUCCAGCUUCAUGCCUGAGAAGAGGUCCGAGGGCUGCUUUAUGUUCUACGGAGUUCGUCCAAGGAUGCACUGGAUCACUACUCAAUAUGGUGGCCAUAAAAUUGACAAGGUUCUCAAGAGGUUUGGGAGCAACAUCAUCUUCUCCAACGGGAUGCGAGACCCGUGGAGUGGAGGCGGGGUGCUCAAGAAAAUAUCAUCCAGCAUCAUUGCUCUCGUCACAGAGAAAGGGGCCCAUCAUUUGGACCUCAGAUCUGCAACCAAGGAUGAUCCAGACUGGGUUGUAGAACAAAGGAGACAGGAAGUUGAGAUCAUACAUGGAUGGAUAGAUCAGUAUAACAAGGACAUUGCACGGAUGUAG
rnacentral:rRNA from 1 species